GGUCCGAUGGUGUAGUUGGUUAUCACUUCUGUCUAACAAAUCACGUAAUUUGGUGCACAGGCGGUCCUCAGUUCGAACCUGGGUCGGAUCA